UACAGAGGGGGCAAGCGUUGUUCGGAAUUACUGGGCGUAAAGCGCGCGUAGGCGGCCCUCUAAGUCGGACGUGAAAUCCCCGGGCUUAACCCGGGAACUGCGUCCGAUACUGGCAGGCUUGAAUCCGGGAGAGGGAUGUGGAAUUCCAGGUGUAGCGGUGAAAUGCGUAGAUAUCUGGAGGAACACCGGUGGCGAAGGCGGCAUCCUGGACCGGUAUUGACGCUGAGGCGCGAAAGCUAGGGGAGCAAACGGG
rnacentral:rRNA from 1 species